CCCCUAGAUGUUCUGGGCCGCACGCGCGCUACACUGAACAGUUCAACAAGUCUUAACCUUGGCCGAUAGGUCUGGGUAAUCUUUGAACGCUGUUCGUGAUUGGGAUAGACCUUUGCAAUUAUGGGUCUUCAACGAGGAGUUCCUAGUAAACGCAAGUCAUCAGCUUGCAUUGAUUACGUCCCUGCCCUUUGUACACACCGCCCGUCGCACCUACCGAUUGAAUGGUCCGGUGAAAUCUCGGGACGGCGGCUUGGUCGCUUGCGUCCGACUGCUGAAACUUGAUUAAACCAUAUCAUUUAGAGGAAGGUGAAGUCGUAACA
rnacentral:rRNA from 1 species